AUGAACGCUGGCGGCGUGCCUAAUACAUGCAAGUCGAACGGAGAGGAUGUAGCAAUAUAUCGUCUUAGUGGCGAACGGGUGAGUAACGCGUUGGUGACCUGCCCCGAAGAGGGGGAUAACAGUUCGAAAGGACUGUUAAUACCCCAUAGGGUCAAAGAGAUUAGAAGCUCAUUGACCAAAGGAGAAAUUCGCUUCGGGAGGGGCCUGCGUCCCAUCAGCUAGUUGGUAGGGUAAUGGCCUACCAAGGCAAUGACGGGUAGGGGACCUGAGAGGGUGGCCCACCACACUGGCACUGAAAUACGGGCCAGACACCUACGGGUGGCAGCAGUAGGGAAUAUUGGACAAUGGGCGAAAGCCUGAUCCAGCAACGCCGCGUGCACGAUGACGGCCUUCGGGUUGUAAAGUGCUUUUAAGGGAGAUGAGAAAGGACAGUAUCCCUUGAAUAAGCCUCGGCGAACUACGU
rnacentral:rRNA from 1 species